GUGGGGAAUAUUGGGCAAUGGGGGAAACCCUGACCCAGCAACGCCGCGUGAAGGAAGAAGGUUUUCGGAUCGUAAACUUCUAUCCUUGGUGAAGAUAAUGACGGUAGCCAAGAAGGAAGCCCCGGCUAACUACGUGCCAGCAGCCGCGGUAAUACGUAGGGGGCAAGCGUUGUCCGGAAUGAUUGGGCGUAAAGGGCGCGUAGGCGGCCUGGUAAGUCUGGAGUGAAAGUCCUGCUUUUAAGGUGGGAAUUGCUUUGGAUACUGUCGGGCUCGAGUGCAGGAGAGGUAAGUGGAAUUCCCGGUGUAGCGGUGAAAUGCGUAGAGAUCGGGAGGAACACCAGUGGCGAAGGCGACUUACUGGACUGUAACUGACGCUGAGGCGCGAAAGUGUGGGGAGCAAACAGGAUUAGAUACCCCGGUAGUCC
rnacentral:rRNA from 1 species